rnacentral:rRNA from 1 species
UACGGAGGGUGCAAGCGUUGUUCGGAAUCAUUGGGCGUAAAGGGCGUGUAGGCGGUCGGGUAAGUCAGAUGUGAAAGCCCUGGGCUCAACCCAGGAAGUGCAUUUGAAACUACCUGACUUGAGUACGGGAGAGGACGGGGGAAUUCCCGGUGUAGAGGUGAAAUUCGUAGAUAUCGGGAGGAAUACCGGUGGCGAAGGCGCCCGUCUGGACCGAUACUGACGCUGAGACGCGAAAGCGUGGGGAGCAAACAGG